GAUGCCAGCGGCUCUCGGAUGGCAUGGACGCUUAUCGAGCAGCUUCAGGGUGGCAGCUACAAGAAGAUUGGCUACUAUGACAGCACCAAGGAUGAUCUUUCCUGGUCCAAAACAGAUAAAUGGAUUGUUAUAUCCAGAACUCACAGCCCAACCUGAACAACCUGACUGCUGUGGGCUGCUCACUGGCUUUAGCUGCUGUCUUCCCCCUGGGGCUCGAUGGUUACCACAUUGGGAGGAACCAGUUCCCUUUCGUCUGCCAGGUGAGGAGGUGGUGGGCAAAUUCCUUACAGGAUGUGACUCUCCCACCCGUCUCAGGAGCACCUUCCAUGAUUUAUGAUUCUCUGCCCUUCCUCCUCAGCUUUCCCUGACUCUUGUCCCUGUUCUUUCCUUCUAGCAUCACCCCUCUG
rnacentral:sRNA from 2 species